rnacentral:rRNA from 1 species
AACGAACGCUGGCGGCAUGCCUAACACAUGCAAGUCGAACGAGACCUUCGGGUCUAGUGGCGCACGGGUGCGUAACGCGUGGGAAUCUGCCCUUGGGUUCGGAAUAACAGUUAGAAAUGACUGCUAAUACCGGAUGAUGACUUCGGUCCAAGGAUUUAUCGCCCAAGGAUGAGCCCGCGUAGGAUUAGCUUGUUGGUGAGGUAAAAGCUCACCAAGGCGACGAUCCUUAGCUGGUCUGAGAGGAUGAUCAGCCACACUGGGACUGAGACACGGCCCAGACUCCCACGGGAGGCAGCAGUGGGGAAUAUUGGACAAUGGGCGAAAGCCUGAUCCAGCAAUGCCGCGUGAGUGAUGAAGGCCUUAGGGUUGUAAAGCUCUUUUACCCGGGAUGAUAAUGACAGUACCGGGAGAAUAAGCCCCGGCUAACUCCGUGCCAGCAGCCGCCGUAAUAC